rnacentral:rRNA from 1 species
CAGUGCUGCAGCUAACGCAUUAAGCACUCCGCCUGGGGAGUACGACCGCAAGGUUGAAACUCAAAGGAAUUGACGGGGGCCCGCACAAGCGGUGGAGCAUGUGGUUUAAUUCGAAGCAACGCGAAGAACCUUACCAGGUCUUGACAUCCUUUGACCACUCUAGAGAUUGAGCUUCCCCUUCGGGGGCAAAGUGACAGGUGGUGCAUGGUUGUCGUCAGCUCGUGUCGUGAGAUGUUGGGUUAAGUCCCGCAACGAGCGCAACCCUUAUUGUUAGUUGCCAUCAUUCAGUUGGGCACUCUAGCGAGACUGCCGGUGACAAACCGGAGGAAGGUGGGGAUGACGUCAAAUCAUCAUGCCCCUUAUGACCUGGGCUACACACGUGCUACAAUGGGAAGUACAACGAGUCGCGAAGUCGCGAGGGCAAGCUAAUCUCUUAAAGCCUCUCUCAGUUCGGAUUGCAGGCUGCAACUCGCCUGCAUGAAGCUGGAAUCGCUAGUAAUCGCGGAUCAGCACGCCGCGGUGAAUAC